rnacentral:rRNA from 1 species
UACGAAGGGGGCUAGCGUUGCUCGGAAUCACUGGGCGUAAAGGGCGCGUAGGCGGCGUGUUAAGUUGGGGGUGAAAGCCUGUGGCUCAACCACAGAAUUGCCUUCGAUACUGGGACGCUUGAGUGUGGUAGAGGUUGGUGGAACUGCGAGUGUAGAGGUGAAAUUCGUAGAUAUUCGCAAGAACACCGGUGGCGAAGGCGGCCAACUGGACCAUCACUGACGCUGAGGCGCGAAAGCGUGGGGAGCAAACAGG